AUGCUCCACCAAACGCUCACCCCUUCUUCCCUUGCCUUCUCCGCCUCCGCUUCCCCCGACCCUCUCCCCUUCGCCUCAAACGCCAGCCCCGCCGCCGCCGCCGCCGCCGCCGCGACCACCCUUCGCCCCUCGGCCAUGCCGUCCUACGCGCACCACCACAGCUCUCUGGACGAGAGGAUGGACGCCCUCAAGGGCAGUAGCCGCCAGGAGGAGACGCCCGACGAGGCCGCCGCCGCCGCCGAGGCGCCGGCUGCCUGGGGCUUCGCCGAGCGGGACGGCUUCUCCGUCGAGGACCUGCUGGACCUUGAGGAGUUUUGCGAGCCGGAUAAGGACGGCGCCGACGAGCCCGAGGAGGCUCCGGCCGCCGACGUGAAGGAGGAGAAGUUGAACGACGGGCCCAACCAGCCCGUCGUGUCGUAUGAGCUCGCCCCUCCGGCGCCGCCCGCGCCGGAGAUUGUUGACCUGCCGGCGCAUGACGUCGAGGAGGAGCUCGAGUGGGUGUCCCGUAUCAUGGACGACUCGCUCUCCGAGCUGCCCCCGCAGCCGGCGCCGCCCGCGUCGAUGAUGGCCUCGUUGGCGCCACGCCCGCCGCAGCACCGGCUACCCCAGCGACACCCGCUACCGCAGCGGCACCCGCAGGAUGGAGCGUACCGCGCUCUGCCGUCCAUGUCCGACCCUAUGCGGACUCCGACCAUAUGCGCGCUGUCCACGGAGGCGCUGGUUCCGGUCAAGGCGAAGCGCAGCAAGCGCUCUCGGGCGUCGGGGUGGUCGCUCUCGGGCCCCGCGCCGGACUCCACCUCGUCCUCGUCGACCACCACCACCUCCUCCUGCUCCUCGUCGGCGUCCUUCUCGCCCUACUUCCUGCUGGACACGCCGCACUUCGGCGCCUCGGAGCUCAUGGAGGAGUACAACAUCCUGCCGCCGCCGGCCAAGAAGUCCAAGCACGGCAAGAGCAGCAAGCAGAAGGCCAAGAAGCGCGGGCGCAAGCCCAAGAACCUCCCCGCCCACCCGUCCAGCGCCACGGAGGCCACCCAGAGCGACCGGCGCUGCAGCCACUGCGGCGUGCAGAAGACCCCGCAGUGGCGCGCGGGGCCGGAGGGCGCCAAGACGCUGUGCAACGCGUGCGGCGUGCGCUACAAGUCCGGCCGGCUGCUCCCCGAGUACCGUCCGGCGUGCAGCCCGACGUACGUGAGCAGCGUCCACUCCAACUCCCACCGCAAGGUGCUCGAGAUGAGGCGCAAGAAGGAGGACGGCCCGCUCACAGUCACCGCCACCGCGCCCGCCGUGGCGUCGUUCUAG
rnacentral:rRNA from 1 species